UACAGAGGGGGCAAGCGUUGUUCGGAAUUACUGGGCGUAAAGGGCGCGUAGGUGGCCUUCUAAGUUGAACGUGAAAUCCCUGGGCUCAACCCAGGAACUGCGUCCAAGACUGGGAGGCUUGAAUCCGGGAGAGGGAUGCGGAAUUCCAGGUGUAGCGGUGAAAUGCGUAGAUAUCUGGAGGAACACCGGUGGCGAAGGCGGCAUCCUGGACCGACACUGACGCUGAGGAGACGAAAGCCAGGGGAGCAAACGGG
rnacentral:rRNA from 1 species